GCCGGAGUGGCGGAACUGGCAGACGCAAGGGACUUAAAAUCCCUCGGGGCGUGCCCCGUACGAGUUCGAUUCUCGUCUCCGGCA
rnacentral:tRNA from 1 species